CCUAGAAUAUCAAUUUAUUGAUUGAGGCUGAUAUUCUUUAAGUAAAGAAACACUUUCUAGUA
rnacentral:tRNA from 1 species